rnacentral:rRNA from 1 species
UACGUAGGGGGCAAGCGUUGUCCGGAAUCAUUGGGCGUAAAGAGCGUGUAGGCGGCCCGAUAAGUCCGCUGUGAAAGUCCAGGGCUCAACCCUGGAAUGCCGGUGGAUACUGUCGGGCUCGAGUUCGGAAGAGGUGAGUGGAAUUCCUGGUGUAGCGGUGAAAUGCGCAGAUAUCAGGAGGAACACCGGUGGCGAAGGCGGGGUCUCUGGGCAACUACUGACGCUGAGGAGCGAAAGCGUGGGGAGCGAACAGG